GUACACAUUUUAGGAUUUUGUUCUAAUUUUAAUUUGUUUCUUUUUAAAUUGCAUAUGUUGAAGUUAUGUAAAUGAUGUCGGGGAGAGAUAGAAUCAGUCAACUUCCGACAGAAAUACUUGAUAAUAUUUUGAGAUUAUUGCCUAUCGUAGAAGCUGCUAGAGCUGCUGUUUUGUCUACCAUUUGGAGAGAUUGUUGGUCCAGUAUCACAUAACUCAACUUUGAUUAUCAGUUCGGUUCUUUUGUUGGGAUAAAAUAUUGUGAGAGUUAUAAUGCCACAUCAGCCUGUAUGUAUGUAAUCAACAAAGUUCUCAUGCGGCACCAUGGACCUAUUCGGAAAUUUGUCUUUGAUUUCGAUGAUGACAUAUCAAUCAUUAGAGAUGAGCAUAAUUCUCGAAAGUUUGACUUGGAUCAAUGGUUCCUUUUUGUUACUCAGAAAGGUGUUGAAGAAAUGGAUAUUAUUUCUCCAAGUCCAAUAAAUUUUCAACCAAAUGAAUGCUAUAGUGUCCCAAAUUGCAUAUUUUCUUGCUUAACUCUCACGAAGUUGGAUCUUACUGGAGUAUUUGUUGCACCAACAAUAAAUGCCCCUUGCAUAUUUCCGAAUGUCACUUCACUUAGUUUCGAAAGCGUUAUCUUUGGUGCUAUUAAUCUGGAUUUUGUUAUAGAAGUUCCCAUGCUUGAGACACUCUCAUUUAGCGGAUGUGCGAAUGUGUCAUAUUUUGACAUUAAGGCUCCAAGGCUUAGCAGUUUAACAUUCACGAAUGAUUUGUUUCAAGACAUCUUCAUCUUCUCCCGGUUAACUUGGACUUGUCAUAUAUUCAUACUCUUUGUUUGGAUUUUAAUUUCAAGCGUUUUGUCAGUGGACUUACAAGAUGUGGACGUGAACUAAAUAUGGAAUUCCUUGAGUUAUCACAUCUCCAAUUUCACGAUGAUUAUGAGUUUUCUGCCUUUAUUAAUUCAUUACAAAUAUGCUCCAAAUUACGCAAGCUUGACAUAAUGAGUUUAUGGUUUGGUGCAAGAAUUUCCAACUCUAAACUUUGGGAAGGAAUUCAAAGUGCGGCUAAAAUGCUUAAAAUGCUUCACACUUUCAAGCUUAGAUCAUUCAAUGGGUCGAGGUUUGAAUUGCGAUUCAUCAAGAUGCUACUUGCUUGUUUUUCCGCACUUGAGAAGGUUGUCAUUAUUCGUCAGAUGAAGUUUGAUUCCAAUAAGGAGUUUAAAAUUAUGCAAAAGCUUUUAAACUUUCGUCGUGCAUCAAAGAAAGCAAAAAUUGUUUACAUAUAAGCAUCUUAUUAUAUUUUUUGUUAAAUUGAAUUUAUGCAUCUCCUUCAUUCAC